rnacentral:rRNA from 1 species
GACGAACGCUGGCGGCGUACUUAACACAUGCAAGUCGAACGGAAAGGCCCUGCUUUUGUGGGGUGCUCGAGUGGCGAACGGGUGAGUAACACGUGAGUAACCUGCCCUUGACUUUGGGAUAACUUCAGGAAACUGGGGCUAAUACCGGAUAGGAGCUCCUGCUGCAUGGUGGGGGUUGGAAAGUUUCGGCGGUUGGGGAUGGACUCGCGGCUUAUCAGCUUGUUGGUGGGGUAGUGGCUUACCAAGGCUUUGACGGGUAGCCGGCCUGAGAGGGUGACCGGCCACAUUGGGACUGAGAUACGGCCCAGACUCCUACGGGAGGCAGCAGUGGGGAAUAUUGCACAAUGGGCGGAAGCCUGAUGCAGCAACGCCGCGUGCGGGAUGACGGCCUUCGGGUUGUAAACCGCUUCCGCCUGUGACGAAGCGUGAGUGACGGUAAUGGGUAAAGAAGCACCGGCUAACUACGUG